UCCGGACGGAGGGCGAGGCGGGUGAGCAUGGCGAAGGAACCUGUAAAUAGUUCACAGCGCUUGUCUGUGUGUGGAAGAACAGCAAGCGUUAGCGUGAGACAUGCAACGUGAGGAUUGGCGUGACGAAGCUCCUUAGGUUGGCGACUUCGAUUGUGCGAAGCAUGCAGAGUGUACAGGCGACAGAAGUCUGGAGAAGGCAGGUCGAAUGGAUCUCAUCUCGGAAGGUUGGGUGCGGAUUUGGAAGCGGAGUUGCUUCUGUCAUGUCAUUUAGGGAGUUUGGAUGUUGAGGGUUUUUCUGUAAUUUUGUUAGUGUGAGGUGUGAUUAUUGAGCUUCGAAGGGCUUGAAGCAUUGAUUUUGUGGAUUCUAGUGGGUGCAUUAGUUGUGUAGGUGUUUGCAAGAGCCAGUAGUGAGGAUCAUGUUUUCUUUAGUUGGGUCAUGUACAUCUACUUUGGAUCAUUUUAUGGACAUUCAAAUUUUUUAAAGUUUAUAACAUCUCGCUCAUGUCUGAUGGCGGAGUUGGUUGUGUACGGUGCAUUUUUCAAGGUGUAGUAGUUAAGCAGUCUUACUUUAUUUGUGUGUUGUUUUUAACCUAAAAAUAUGCUCUGUUGUACUUUAUGCUCUCAAUUCCAUAGGAGAGAAUAUAAGCCUUUCGUUGGUUGGAGAGUUAUAGUUGAAAUGUACCUGGGGUCUGAAAGAAGUGUCAUCAUGUAUGUCGUUGCUGCUGGCUCAUCAGAGGUGUACUUGUGAGGCCUUGUCUGUGUCAGCGGGUGUGAUAGGGCGGAAUUUUAUACCACACUGCCGACCUCUACCUAGUUGUGUUCUGAAAUGUCGUUAUUGUUGCACGUUUUGAGCGGUUAGUUUUGAGUUAAUUUUGAUUUUCCUGGUUCAGAUUUAGCUUCCCUUGCUGCACUGAUGGUUUGUCGGUUUUGGUUGAUGUGUAACGACGUAUUCUGCUAAUUUGGAAAGCAUUCACUUCAAGUUUGUAGAUAUGUCAGCACCUUAAUUGUGCUUUGCUUGCGUUCUCUAGCAUCAGGGCUCUGGUUGCGAUUUAGGAUGUCACUGAAGUCGGUAUAGCGAUCUUCAACAGCACAGGUAGGUGUUGUGUCAGGAUGUUCUAGACCUUGUUUAGGGUGUGGACCAGGUUUAAGAAAUUGAGGCUUUUCGUGCCAGUACAUAUUCAUAACGCCCACCCUUUUUAUGGGUAUAUUUUGAUUGACUUUCCUUGAUGUGGUUCAUUUUUCGAAAUUUUCUUUUGGUUAGCAAAGAUGACGCAAGAUUCCUAGAAAGCUGUGACCGUAUCAAGUUGUAUCUUCAUGCACUUGAACCCUCUCCAAGAUCCAUGGGAGAUGUUUUAAGGUAUUUGUCCAAUUAGUAGGUUAGGGGCUAUAAAGCUAUUAGUAUCUUUUUGGUAAAUGAAUAGACAACUACAUAAUGGAACAAGUUGCGAAGAUCUGCUGGAGAAUGGGAAGCGCUGCGGUAGUGACAAUGACGGGUUGAAAGGAGUAUUGGAGGACCCGACAACUUGGAGCAUGAGGAAGUUGUGGCGAGAAUGCUUUUAGCGACAAUGACCAGUUUCAACUGGCCUACGUCAGUAUGAUCUUGUGUUACAUGAAGCCCCUGCCUGGGAACUGGUGAUUGAUCGCUGUUGAUAGUCCAAGAGGGGCUGAAAAACAACUGUUGGUUUCUCCCCUUUCAGACCUUUUUGCUUGGGAGUUCCGAUAUUUUUAUGUAUGUAUAUCGAUUUUUCCGAUUUUUUUCGUUCA